AGAAACACUCACCCACUAAGACCAUUUCUUCUGGCGUGUGCGCUUCAGUCAGCGGGAGUCACAGCGACACUUAGCGGCUCGGAGUGACAAUUAACAUCCCAUCAACAGGGAAUCCAGCACAGAAGUAGUCCAGAUGUUCUACAAUUUACAAGAUGCUGUCAGCUUGAAGUAGUCCACUGCAUCGCUAUCAGAAGGUAUUCACACAGCAUUGUAGACAUUGCAUAAAACCAUG